rnacentral:rRNA from 1 species
GACGAACGCUGGCGGCGCGCCUAACACAUGCAAGUCGAACGGAGCUGAGAGAAGCUUGCUUUUCUUAGCUUAGUGGCGAACGGGUGAGUAACGCGUGAGUAACCUGCCCUGGAGUGGGGGACAACAGUUGGAAACGACUGCUAAUACCGCAUAAGCCCACGAUCCGGCAUCGGAUUGAGGGAAAAGGAUUUAUUCGCUUCAGGAUGGACUCGCGUCCAAUUAGCUAGUUGGUGAGGUAACGGCCCACCAAGGCGACGAUUGGUAGCCGGACUGAGAGGUUGAACGGCCACAUUGGGACUGAGACACGGCCCAGACUCCUACGGGAGGCAGCAGUGGGGGAUAUUGCACAAUGGGGGAAACCCUGAUGCAGCGACGCCGCGCGGAGGAAGAAGGUUUUCGGAUUGUAAACUCCUGUCGUUAGGGACGAUAAUGACGGUACCUAACAAGAAAGCACCGGCUAACUACGUG